CAUAAGCUCCGAUCUCUCUUAAUAAAGGAAAGGUAGAGGAUAUCUUAUAAAGAGAGGCAAUAUAAAUGUAUAUAUCUGUCGUAAAGAGAGAUGAUACCUCUUCUUCUUUAAGGACACUCAGCAGGCAUCCCACACAGUGUGAUGGUUUGGAUCUAGAAUGUCACACAAAUGUCCACAUGAAGGUUUGGUUCUCAGCUGUGGCUGCACAGGAAGAUGACAGAAGGUUUAGCAGUGGGGCUUCAUUGGAAGCUUAGAUCACUGAUGUGCACAUGUGAAGGCUUCUGCUUCCUUGCCGCCACAAGUCAGCAAAAUCUCUUAAAGAACAGCCCUCAACGUGGAAAAAAAUCCUGAGCACCACAAUAAACAUUACAACAUCAUGGCAUACAGCACACAAUUCAGAAACAAGAGCUCACUGCAUCAGAGACUCGGAACUUGUUCAACCAGCAAUAAGCUUCUUUAUGCAAAUGGAAAUCCUGAAUCGAGGUCUCCUUCUAAAAGCUCAGGACCAUUCCCGGCCCCUUCCGUGUCCUCGUGUGUCUUGUGCGGCGCUUAGAACAAUCUUUCAAUCUGUUCACACCAUGAAUCGCACUAUUUGAAGAAAGAAUACUUAACUGAGAGAAGCAGCGGGGUCCACGUAACAGCAUGUGACGACUGAGGAGGGAGGGGAGCGGAGCGAGGAAUGCAGGGCCCGAAGGUUGGUGCAGGAACAUGCUCUAUCACAAUUGCAAGGGAGAGUUACUGCGGGCUUUCAAAAUGAAGCAGUGUACAUCUGGGAAGCCAGCACUUUCAGAAAAUGAUAAACUUUAUCUGUUGUAUCAGUGUGUUUUGCUUUUCAUGAACAUCCACACACCACUUUUGUGUCCAGCGCUAGCAGAGGCUAUAAGAGGAUGUCUGAUCUCCCAGAACUGAGGUCAUAGGUGGUUGUGAGCCACCCUGUCAGUGCUGGGAGUUGAACCCAGGUCCUCUGGAAGAGCAGUUAGUGCUCUCAACACCUGAGCCAUUUUCCCACCCCAUGGAAACCAAUGCUUUUUAAAUUGAGGUACAUUACAUGAGAUAGGGCAUCAGGGCUGGGUUGGUUGUUUUGCUUUGUGUUUAGGUGUUGUUUUCUUUUCUUGUUUUAUGGUUGUUAUGUUGUUCUUAAGCACCAUGCCCCUCAACUACAUCAUCCCCUUUUAAUCGUUGCUUUGAGACAAGGACCCCAUGAGUUAUUCGGACUAGCUUCAAAUUCAUUGUAAAGCCCAGGCUGGCCACAAGCUUGCAGUCCUGUUUUCUCAGUCUCCCAAGUAGCUGGAAUUACAGGUGUGCGCCACCAUCCCUAGCUUUGGUUUUGAUGGUUCUACUUCUGGGAAGUGAAAUGGAGUGGAGAUUAAUUCAGGAACCGAUGACCAGUUAAUUCAUCAUGCCUAUUUAACAGAACCUCCUUAAAAUUCCCCGAAGAAGGGGUGUGGGGUAUUUCUAGGUUCUUGAACACAUGUAGGGUGGCCGACUGGGGAAAGGCAUAGAAGAGCCAUGUGCCUUCUCCUGUUUACCCUACAUAAUCCUUCCUCAGGCUGUUCAUCUUUCUCCUUUACAAUACAACAAUGGAUGCUAAAAGAAUGUUUCCUGGAUUCUGUGAACUUACAGCAAAUUAACGAAUCUGAGGAAGGGAAUAUGGAACCCUACUUUAUAGAGGGACAGAGAGACAGCAAGAGACUUGAAACUUGCUCUUGGAGAGUGAAACUGGGACAGUCUUCAGGGUCUGAGAUCAUGAUGGAGUUGAACCAUGAGUCACCCAGUCGGUAUCCGCAGGGAUCUGUGGAAUUCCUUGCUGAGGAAACCCAUAAUUUGGGGGUCAGAUGUGUCAGCCCAUUGGUGUAUACAGCAAAAGAGGUUUUUCCUUUGUAGCCUCUAUUUAUCUAUCAUCUGCAGAGAAAAAAAAUAUAAAACCUUGAAUAAAAUAACAAAUGUGAUUAGAUGUGUUGACGAUUGGGAACUGGAAUUAAAGUCCUACAGAAAACCUUGGUGCUAUUCUUACAAAUUGUAUACAAAAUUAAAAUUAUGUAAAUGAUUAUGUUAACAUAUUGAGAAUAUAUAUUUGGUAUGGACACUCAGUAUACUAUGAUUUCAUGCUCAAACUUUAACAUUAUUUCAUAGCAAACAGUGGGUAAGUAACAAUUGCUUUGCAGGAUUAAGCAUGCUAAAAUAUUUGAAAGGAUGGAUGGUAUUGCGUGCACAUACACAAACAGAAAUAAACUCAGAGAGGUAUUAACAGUA